GUUCUAAUGUGGGUCCGGGUUACCAACUGUCGUGGAUUCGCACUUAUUUUGCCUGGGAUUCUUCCAACUUAACCUUUUUCCUUGAACCUUAGACAUUUCUUACCUAAGAGCCUAAAGGAAAUCUUGAGGCUUCAGCAGCCAACUCCUGUCCUUCCUUAGCAACAAUCUUAACAGGAGUGCACAGGGUAACUGGUUUAGGGUGCUUGCUUUGUCUUAAGGGGAAAAACGACAUUUCCCAGGAGGCACCGCGAACCAACGCCGGUACACUAUUUCCCAGAAUUCCAGGGUUUCGGCCCUUCCAGACCGUCUCUCCUCAGGGUUGGAGACUUCGGGGCCAAGAUGGCGACGGGAACGGGCAAACACAAGCUGCUAAGCACUGGCCCCACAGAGCCAUGGUCCAUCCGAGAGAAGCUAUGUUUAGCAUCUUCUGUCAUGAGAAGUGGCGAUCAAAAUUGGGUAUCAGUUAGCAGAGCAAUCAAGCCCUUUGCAGAACCUGGCCGCCCUCCAGACUGGUUCUCUCAAAAACAUUGUGCUUCCCAGUACUCGGAGCUUUUAGAGACCACUGAGACACCAAAGUGAGUACAAAGCCAGACGGAAACGAGGUGAAAAGGGAGAAGUGGUGGAAACUGUUGAAGAUGUUAUUGUUCGGAAAUUGACUGCUGAGCGAGUUGAAGAACUAAAGAAAGUGAUAAAGGAAACCCAGGAGAGAUAUAGACGGCUAAAGAGAGAUGCAGAACUAAUUCAAGCUGGACACAUGGACAGCAGACUGGAUGAGCUUUGCAAUGACAUUGCAACGAAAAAGAAAUUGGAAGAAGAGGAGGCUGAAGUAAAGAGGAAGGCUACAGAUGCUGCAUACCAGGCUCGUCAAGCAGUAAAAACACCCCCCCGGAGGUUACCCACUGUGAUGGUUCGCUCUCCUAUAGAUUCUGCCUCCCCAGGAGGUGAUUAUCCACUUG
rnacentral:lncRNA from 10 species